GUUUCGUGUGAGGGGGCGGCGGCGCGCCGCCGUGCUGCCGCGCUCCCCCCGCCGGCCACACUACAAGUCCCAGCAUGCAAGGCGGGGCACGGUGGUGCGCCGGGCGUGGUUGGCCGGAGCGCGGCAUGCUGGGAGCUGUAGUCCCCGCCCCUCCGCCGCCUCAGCGCCCUCCGCUGUCGUGGCCCUCAGGGCCGGUGCUCUCUGCUCCUGCAGACUUCCGCAGCGACGUGCUGUGGGCCCAUGUGAGGGUGGCAGGGCUGCCCGGCCCGCUGAGUGACGGCCGAGUAACCCCCGGAGGGGAGCAGCCGCCGCUGGAGGGAAGAGGGGCAAGGACCUCUGCGAAGCUCCACCAUCACCGAAAUGGCUGGAUCAAAACCCACCAUAAGCUUUUUUCUCACCAGAAAGCAAGUGUGGACUGGAGAGCUGAAUACAGAACAGAACUUCGUGGUGCCAGACAGACCCAAGACACAGAGCCUUUUCAAGGUCACAGUAUCCCUGUUCUAAACCGAGCUGUGGAAAGCUGGGGGUUUUUUUUGAAUUCAAAAUGAAUUGAAUUGCUUAAAUGAAAAAAAAAAAGAACUGUCUCUACUGAAGCAUGGAAGGGAGAUGGCAGGCAUUUUAGCAACCCCUGAGCACAAAUAUAUUGAGGGCAGUGACGGAAGAAAACAAUGUGAGACUGGAUCCAUAAGAAGCAGGCACAGGGCUAUCUUCACAGUCAAAGGUCUGACUUUCUCAUUUUCACACAUCUGCCUGAGAAAUUAAACGAAUGCAUACUGAAAAAAAAAAAAGACAAACACCAUCUUCAACAGAGCUUGAAAUUAAGUUUGUGCAAGAGCCUCUGGAUGUCCCAGGGGAGGGUGCUUCCCCUCCCUGCAAGUGUAAUUUCAUCUCCAAUCAGUCUUGAAUGUGAUGAGAGACUGAGAGAAGUACUUCACACCAUUUAAUAAGAUUCAUUCUUAUUCACCUUUCUCUUUCUCCUAUUUCUGUCCCCCCUCUGCUCCCUUCUCCUGGGACCUGCACCAGUUCCCUGUUGAAAAUGCAGCAGAGUGGUUGGGAAGCUCAGCCUUUAAGGUGUGUGGCAAACAGAAGGAAGGAACGAUGCCCUGGUGUAACAGAGUGAUACCCAUCAGGGUGGUCAGGCGGUAUCAGACAGCGUUACUUGUCUGCUGCUCUCCCCAUCCCCAGAGUUUCUAUCAAGAAAAGAGGAAGAUAGCGUUAAUCCUUGCUAAAGGCACUGUAGAGGCUUUCAGCCACCAUAGCCAAGCAGAGCUGUCUCUGUUUUUUUGUGGGGAGUGACUGUAUUUUCUAGCGGAGCGGAGGUUUCAGGUACCUUGAGCCACUGCAGUUUUUUCUCAGCCUUUCUCAGAGCCUUUUGCUUGUGCACCCCAUGUUUCACCUUAAAUGAUACCUUUGCAAAUGUGAUUGUUAUGACAUAAGCAGGCAUGGGUUUGGCCUGUCAUCUAAUACACUAAAUUCUUAGCAAUGCUUCCUCAAAAGAGUUUUAAAAGUUCUUCCAUUUUUCUGAGGGGUAGGUCCCUUAUGGUUGUAGAAAAACCCAAAGUUAGAGAUAGUUGAUGGCAUGUACCUUGGCCUAAAUGACAGAGCAAAUCAGUGACAGCAUUAGAAACAGGACCUGAGUCUACUAGCUUCUCCCAAACUCAUGGAUUAGCCCACGGUGAGGUGCCAUCAAAUAGGCCUAUCCAUUUUCCUGCUGCCUGGAGGGUGUAGUAACAAUCAAGAGACCAGAGUUGCUUCUCUAUCUGAUCCCAAUGACAUCUAGUGCUCUGGUGAGGAUUUGUAGACUUUUCCCAAUCAGUUGUGGCUUACUAGGAACCUGAAGGAGCAGGAACUGGUAACAAUGUGCGAUUCAUUAGGAAGACAAGACCUUAUAAUGCCUUAGCCUACUCUUCCUUACCCUGUUGGUGCUGCUCCUGAAUGUUUCCCUCUCUCCCCAGGAGAUGCAGUUGCACAGGGCCACAAGCUAUCGCCCUGGCUGCUGUUCACUGCUACCUGUCCUAAGCAACUGAUCCAGCAGGAGGAAGGCAGUUGAAAAAUGUCUCUUGAGGGGUUUCAUGGCCUCCAGAACCACUUGGGGAGACUUUUCACAUAGCACACUGGCCAAACGGAUACAUGAGCAUGGAUCAACUUUUGCUGAGACCCUAGAUAGCUGAUGUGUCGCUGCAUUCCUGUGAGGCCACCUUACCAUCAUGCUGCCAGGAGCUUGUCCUGGCUCUUCCCAGGUGGAAGGACAGGGUGCAGGAGCUGGCUGGCCCUACAAAGCUGGAGUGGGUACAUUGCUACCUGCAGAGCAGACUUAAAUAACAUUACCCAGCAAAAAUUAUGUAGUCUUUGCUCACUGUCAGCAGCAGCAGCAGCCUUGUUUAGGUAUGACUGAGCCAUACAGCUUGUCAUUGCAUUAAGACCCUUGUGAUGGAGAACUGCCCUGUGUUUUGACCACCACCCACUUCUGAGUUUUGAUCAGCCCUUUUACAGGGUAGUCUUGGUAGGGAUUGUCACCACGUCACUCGAAUGACAGAUUGUGGCUAGAGAUGCCACGGGACUGUGUAGUUUAGACAAAAUACCCAUGUUCCUUUCUGUCUCUUUCCUUGACCUCCAUAAUGCAGGCAACCUCUUCGAAUCCCAGGGAACUGAAGUGUUUUUGCUUACAUUUCUCAUGUAGCAUUUAGGUCAGGUGAAGACUGGAGAGAAUAGCUUUGAAAGGAGAACAAUUAAACGUUCUUCAUUGCAGAGUCCGCUGUUUUCCUGGAAAAGAAGUAAGCACUUACACUGCAAGACAGACAAUGGUGCCAUAUUGUACUAUUUACAUCAUAUUUAAUAACGCUCUAGUACCAUUCAGUAUAAAUAAAUAACCAUUAAAAAUUACUUCCUUGA